AUGCCGACCUUUGUACUGGUGAAGGGCGGGCAGGAGGUGAGUCGCGUGGUCGGGGCUAAGAAGGAUGAGCUUGACAGGAAGAUCAAGACGUUCAUCUCAUCGUCCUGA
rnacentral:rRNA from 1 species